AAUCCUGCAGAUUCCCUGAGGAAUAUGCACGGGGGGUUACCCUAAGGAAAAUCCAAGAGGAAUUCCUGCCAUGUGUUGCCUGGCUGACAAAGGGAACAUUUCCUCAGCUCAAGCAGCAGUGCUCUCUCACAUAUAAUGGGGUCACUGUUUCUCUGUUCCUCAUGUUAUUGAUACUUUCUAGCUGGGUUCCAAUUUGAUGAUAAAAUUUCAGCACUUCAAAUCCUAGCAGUGAGAGGGCUUCACAUCACCAAAAUGUCAGUCCUGUCACUUAAAGAAACACUUCUGUUGUUUCCUGUCACUGCUGCCCCUUUUUCUUAAUGAUGGGAAAUUUCAGUUGAAUUCUCAAGUUCUUUACUGGUAAAUUCCCUGAAUCCACUGUUUCACUACCCAGGGCCAGUGCAAAGAAGGUGCCCUGAGGGUGAGGUGGGAGGACUGAGCCUGCAUCCCAGAGGUUUGUUUUCCAGGCUCUGAGACAGACUUCCUGUGUGUGACAUGUACUAGUUCUGCUUUGUGGCCUAGUCAACAUAUUAAUGAAAGAUACUCAGAGAGUUCAGUAAUGGAGAUGAUAAAAGAACUGAUGUAGACAGAGUUCCUGGGCAGUGGGUUUUGUUUUUCUCUGCUUCACUUCUUCAUUGUGCAAAUGAGGAGUAAACAUCAUCCAUUUAGACAGAGCUGCCUGAAAAAGGGGCUGUGUUUUAGGCUGUGUGUUCAGGAAAUACCACUGUGAUCUGAACUGCAAUCUGUAGGUUUUGCUCUGUUAAUUCAUUUACCUACAAUGAUAGUUUUGGAUAUGGUUAAGAGGAUUUGGGAUGGGAAAUGGUAAUUUCUUGUUGGUUUUUUAAUUAUUAUUUAAGGUAGACUUGUGGUAUCUUUUUUCUGUUUGAGCUGUGCUGCCUGAAAUAGUGCAAAUAUUGCAGCUAAAUCUUAUUUUCAUUAUUCUUUUGCAAGCUCUGACCUUUUAAGAACACAAGCAGAACUGAUAUCUAUACAAGGAGGUUGCAAAGGUCUUGUGUAGCCUUUUGAAAACAAUCCUGUUUUGUUUGCAUGACAUAGUAGUCAGAAAAUGUAUCAGGAAAGAAUAAAGGAUAAAAGAAAACGAAUGACAUGACUGAGUACAGCAGCCAGAAAUAACCUCCUGACUGGGCUUGUUCACCUAGACAGAAAUUAUCAAUGUAAUGGAAGUGUGAUUUUAUACCAUCUUUAAGCAUAAAGGUGUAGCUUGCUUAGAUGUACAUUUAUGUCAAAAUUCUCAAUUUUGGUGGGGAUGCAUUAAUAAAAUGAUCCAAUAUUAAAACCAGUAUCCACAUAGUCUUACAUAAUAUAACUGUAUCAGUCUAAAAGCUGAUUUUUUUAGCAUACCAAUGAGCCCUGUCUGGGUUCGUUGUCUACAGACAAGACUGUGCAUAGUAAAUAAUAACCAUUGCAAAAAAAUAAUUUCUUGGGAUCCCAAAUUCACUGCUCUCCACAAUCUAGAUCUUCUCUUUACUGGGCUACCUAAUUUCUUCUGAAUUUCAGUCUUGCUCCUCACUUGGGUCAGGGUGAAAUGUGUUUCCACUGUUUGGUGUUUUGGUUUGGUUUUUUUUUUAAGAUUUAGAACAAAUGACAGGCUUAAACCAAGGGGUUUAACUAGGGAGGGAAGGACACUGGGUGCUGCUUCAGGUAAAGAAAGAGUGGCACUGCCAGGAAAUGUGUGUUGUGGUUUGGAGUUGGUCAUCCUGCUCAGAGGGUAGAACUGUGUAUAAGAGAAAACUAGUCAGUCAAAGUCACUUUUUCUUUCCCACACAAGGGGCAAGUCACAGAUGAGAAAUCUUGUUUUAUUUGAAGUUUGAAGAAGAGAACAGGAGUAAACAAAUCCGAUUUAGGCUUCACUGGUAGAUCUAGAGCUGACUUGAUUGCUGCCCUAUAGGGAAAGUUUCCUGUCAGCUCUGCAUCUCCCAAGAGACAUUUGCUGAGCUGGUGUGAUGAGAAGGUUCAGAGCUAGUGUCAGUCUGGAUGGCUCAGUAGUUUAAAUGUCUGGUUUGGGGAGGUAUGUUCUCAAGCAAAGCCUUCUAAAUAUAAAAUAGUCUUGUGAAGUUUUCAUCUUAUGAAUAUUCACUUGUUGAAUUUACAUUUUGUUUUUCAUCUCCGAGCUCCUAGAACGUGGCCUUGCACAGAGGACAGCCCUCCCAUCUGUCUGAAUCAACUCUGACAGAAACUUUCUGCAGCAGCAGUGCCUUGUUUAACAUGUCCAUGCUCUUCAGCUGCUUUCUUUGAGAACACUUUGAAGAUCCAGCCAUUGUCACAUGCAAGCCCAAACAAUCUGGAACUCGAGCAGAAUUUUGAUCUGCUGUGCACCCCUGAAUGUGCUGACUGCAAGCAGUGGAAGUGCAGGUGGAACCAAUAAUACUGCAAUUUUGCCUCGAGAGUAAAGUUGACUGGGCAGUGUUCUCAGUACAGAAGGUUCUUGAUGAACUUGGGAGAGAGCAAACACAUCUGUCACAUGCUCAUAGGGCAUUUGGAGUGGCUGCUUGGGAACUGCAGGGAUCUGCUGGGGUGGAGGGUUAUCAGAUGUACCUGCCUUCUCUGUACAGACAGGCUGUGGUUUGUGACCUCUUCUGGGACCAUCAGCUAUUGCUGUCACUCCUCUGCUUUCACAUGCAUUGCAAUCCUGGGAAAAGGAAUGAAAUGCAUAAAUAAGGGUGUGCAUUCAUCACAGCCCCCCCUAAUACUCUUGGAUGCAUGACUGCUUCUAGGCAGUGGGGUUUGUUAUUCUGUUCUCAUUUCCUUUCUUUUCUCAACUACGUAUCAAGUUAUUUCCUAACCCAGCUUCAUAUGGUGGCUAAUGGAACAAAAUUGAUGCAAUUGCUCCAAAGAAAAAAAAAAAGGCUUUUAGUCACUAGGUUCUAAUUAAAGCAACCCUUUUUUAUUUUUCAGAGGAGAAAAAAAAUGUCCUUCCCAGAGCCCACUUUCUUUGUAUCAGAUGAAUAUAUAUGCAAUAAUUUGCCAGCCUGAUGGAGGCAGAAGUCGAAAUAUGCUUGGAGCAGUUAUAUUCAACCACAUGCACAUGAUGAAACCUCUGGAGAGGCUGGAGCUACCCACUGCCUGGUGAUGGGAGCUGAGACAGGGCAGCUGACAGGGACCCACACCUGCCAUCCUGUUCACCCCAGCCUGGUCACCCUGAGACCCUCAGCACCUACCUAAAUCCACAGGGAAACUCUGCUUAGCAACCUCAGGAUGGGAACAAAGCACAGUGGUGGGGGACACUGUGUUUCAGUCAAGCCCCACGCACGCUGCCGGUCAUGGAGAUCCCCAUGGGGCUCCCAGUCUGGGAAGCAGAGGAGGUAAGGCAUGUUUGCCCUCCAUGCCCUAAACACAUCUCUUCCUGGGUUUUUUGCUACCUCUUUUAAGCUCUUUUAUAAAGUGCUUUGUAUUUACCCUUAUUCAAAAGAAACAAGUGGAAAGUGCUGUCUGGUUCUGACACAGGGGCCACGGUUCCCUGAAGAACAGUGCUGGAACCCAGCCUCUGCUCUCUCACCUCUGAUUAAACUGCAAUAGAAACAGACUGUAAAUCUCAGCAAAGGAGAGAAAGAGGGUUUAUUCUUUGGACUUGUUUUUUUUCUCAUCUUUACCAGCCAUGAAAAUGGCUGAGCUGAGUUACUGGCCACUCCGAGACGCUUUUCUUCUGCUCCAUCCAUCUGCUUCAAUCACACGGUGACCGGAAAAAAAAAUUAUCCAGUUCACAAAGCAUCAAAGAUUAAAAAAAUCAGUGUGGGUAACAAAGUGUGUGGCAGGCAGCAGUGCCACAGAGCGUGGGGCACACUUGCUAAUGUGGGAUUUGAGCUGCAGCUUGGAUGUAGGGCAGCAGUGUGGCCUCAUCCAGGAGGGUUUGGGGCAGCAGAAGUGAUGGGGCUGGGGAUAUAUGUGGGGCUGUGUGGCAGGGCUGGGCUGGGAAAAAUGCUGAGACAUUCCAUGGAAAAGAAAUCAUUUCCCCCUCCCCUUUUGUUUUUCUCAAGCUUUUUUUGACAGUGAAAGACUUGAUUUCCCUCUUUGAUUGCUGGGGCCCUGUGUUGUACUGCAAAUACCUCAUUGCACUUGGCUAUUAGUAUUCCUUUAAAUCUAUGUGUGUUGAAUUAACUGUUUUUGUUACAGCAUUAAAAGGGAUAACUGGAGCCAACUAAGUAAGCAGCUCUUUUGGACAAUCAGUGUCCAGGGUCAUGGAGACCCCCCCUUCACCUCUCUGCUGUCUCCUGAACCACUGGUUGUCAGUCCUGGUAACCAGGUUCAGACUGAGACUUCUGUUCCCAAUGUGCUUGCUCAGCUGUGCUCAGCUUGGCAUCGUCCUCCGAGGGCUGAGACCUCUGUGCAUCCCUGCCUCUCCUGGGGGAGCACUACUCCCAGCCUCUGCACUGGGAUCUGCAGUCCCUGGAGCGUGCCUUGCCUUCAACUUCAUCCUUUUUGUUUGUACCUUAUUCGUUUGUGGUUUCGUGUUUAGCUCGCUGAAAAUGUUGGUUAAACACUGGUGGGAGGGGAAGCUCAUAAAGAGCAUUUUGCUUUGGCUAUCUUAAAAAGGAAAGCAAAAGCAAAAGGCUUUUAAAAAAAUGUUUUCGUUUCAAAGUUAUAAAGGAAAGCUGGGUUAGAGAUGAGAAAAGAACAAAUCAAUGCUUGUGAAACCUGCUGUGGAGAAAGAAACACAAGAUCUUUUGUUUGAAGAUGAACAGAAAGCUGAAACCAGCAAAAAUUUCCCCCCUCCCCACCUGCACAGAUGCUUCAGGUUGGUUCUUCUAGAUUGGCACACUGCUGGAAAAAAAGCAAAUUCAUUCUUUUCUCUGUUGGGGCUCCAGGUUCCUGUUGCUUACACGUUAUCAUCUUGUAGUGACUUUGAUCCCUGAAGACUCCUUAGGUGCUUUACAAAUCAGGCAUGCAAAUCUUGGCUCAUCUGCCUCAGAGAUGCCACCAGGGCUGGCUGAGCCAGGAGGCUGCUGGUCAGUGUGGUGCCACCCUCCCAGUAGCAGCUGGGAAGGAUGGGAAGCACCUGCUCAUUCAGUAAGGCUUAUAAAAGCUUCUAGUGGCCACAUCACCACCAUUUGCAGGGAUGUUUUGUGCUUCCAGCUGUGGAACCCCAGUGGCCAAUUUAACCCCCAUUUCUCCUUCUUCCUUGAGGAGAUGAGAUGAUCUUUGAGAUCCCUUCCAACCCAACCCAUUCUAUGGUUCUGUGAGACAGCACAGACCUUCCAGACCUCCUGAUCCAAGUCCCAGAGCUGAGCAAAGACAAAGUCUCCUGUGAGCCUUGAAGCUGAAUUCCCUUCGAUGUGCCUGAGAGUGCUUGAGAGCCUGGCUGCCGGCGAUCAGGUCCCAAAACCACCGUGAGAGUCAUCGCAGGCAGGUGGGGAGCAGCACUGGAGCUCCUCUGGCCGUGGGGUACCAGGUGCUGGAGACACCCAGGUGGGUGCUGCCAAUGGAAGUGCUGCCUCCCUGCCCACGGGGACAGCUGUCCAGAGCACAGGAGCCAGCUUGUCCCCUGUUGGAGAGGAGACACCCCAGUACUGCAGGUAAAGGCCAGCAGAAAAACCUCUCCCCAUGUAAGGAGCAGAUCCCCAGCCCUGCCCUGGCAAAGCUGGCUCUCAGCCUGGAGGCCACGGGCACAGCCAGCUGCCACCUGCCCUGUGAUGGGCUCUGCAUCCCUCUCCCAACACAAAGGGCUGGAAAACACAGCCCUGCUCCAUUGCUGCUUAUGGACAUCAGUGUCACAGCCCUGCUCUCCGGGUUCUGGGGACGGGCAGGGGAACUGGCUAUAAAACCACAACUGGUCCUUGGGAAGAAAAGUCAAAACUCCUCUGGGUGCCAUGCAGGGCCUAGGACACUGCAGGAGGUGCAUUUGGUGUUGGUGGGAGACUCACCCUGGCCUGGGGCUGCUCUUGGCAAGGCGUCUGGGAAGUGCCUCUGUGGUGAGAAAGUGAGCGCUUGCCAGGUACAGAACUGGACAGAUCAAGAAGUCAAGAUUUUGCAUUCCAACUAUCUAUAGGAAAUAGGGUUUUUUAUUAUUUCAAGUUUUCAUAAAAAUCCAUAAUUAUUGAAAUCAAAGUUACAGAAGAAAGUUCGUAACUUUUUAUUGAUUUUAUUUCUUUUUACUUUCUUUUUCCCCCCCACCCUGUUGUUUUUCCCCUCUCAGAGUUAUAUCUGACACUAGAGUCCAUCAGACAAAGUCCUUACAAACACAGGAGUCCUGAAGACAUCGGAUGAAUGUUUUCCUGGUAUAAAGAAGAAGAAGAGGAGAAAGAGGUGGUGACAGUGUGGGUGCAGUGGGUUUGGACAAGGGGCGGAGGGCACGGUGGAAGGAGAGAGGUCGGUAUGUUUGUAGCACUGUUUGUUAAUUAUUUUUUUAUUUGUUCAUUUUUUUUCUUUAAAAAAACCCAACAAAACAACACCAUUAUUAUUUGCAAA